CACGUAGGGGCCAAGCGUUGUCCGGAUUUAUUGGGCGUAAAGAGCUCGUAGGCGGUUCGACAAGUCGGGUGUGAAAACUCCGGGCUCAACCCGGAGACGCCACCCGAUACUGUCGUGACUGGAGUCCGGUAGGGGAGUGGGGAAUUCCUGGUGUAGCGGUGAAAUGCGCAGAUAUCAGGAGGAACACCGGUGGCGAAGGCGGGUCUCUGGGCCGUAACUGACGCUGAGGAGCGAAAGCAUGGGGAGCGAACAGG
rnacentral:rRNA from 1 species